GACGAACGCUGGCGGCGUGCUUAACACAUGCAAGUCGAACGGAUAGGCCCUGCUUGCAGGGUACUCGAGUGGCGAACGGGUGAGUAACACGUGGGUGAUCUGCCCUGCACUUCGGGAUAAGCCUGGGAAACUGGGUCUAAUACCGGAUAGGAGCCAUUUUUAGUGUGAUGGUUGGAAAGUUUUUUCGGUGUAGGAUGAGCUCGCGGCCUAUCAGCUUGUUGGUGGGGUAAUGGCCUACCAAGGCGGCGACGGGUAGCCGGCCUGAGAGGGUGGACGGCCACAUUGGGACUGAGAUACGGCCCAGACUCCUACGGGAGGCAGCAGUGGGGAAUAUUGCACAAUGGGCGCAAGCCUGAUGCAGCGACGCCGCGUGGGGGAUGACGGCCUUCGGGUUGUAAACUCCUUUCGCUAGGGACGAAGCUUUUUGUGACGGUACCUAGAUAAGAAGCACCGGCUAACUACGUG
rnacentral:rRNA from 1 species